rnacentral:lncRNA from 1 species
CUAGUUUUCUGUUCUCCGAAUUUGUGAUGUUGUGCCAAACACACCUAUCCGAUUUGCAUACAUUUUGAUUCGCGGUCCAAUGUGUGAUUUGCCUGUGUGGCAUUAUUUUGGUUGCCUGUGUGGCAUCAUUUGACUUGCAUGUGUGGCAUUGUUUUGACUUGCUUGUGUGGCAUUGUUUUGAUUUGCCUGUGUGGCAAUGUAUAUUUCUGAGCUCACUCGGUAUGAAAUAAAACUCAACCAUUUGAUUCAGCCUAUUAUUUCAUUAUAUUAGUUUUGUUUGUUUCUGUUAAGUUCAAUUCAUUGAGUUAGUUCCUUCAAUUCGUUAUUUCUUUAUUCUUCUAUUAGUUUCAUCAAUUUUGUUGAUUCAGAUAUAUUCCAUUAAGAUCUUUGGAUAAUAUAUUUUCAUCAGUAUUUAUACUUGAGGCUUUGUUCAGUAUUUUGUCUCAGUUGUUUUCAUAUAUCAGUUGUAUAUCUUUUGUAUAUUUGUAUCCGUACUGGGCAAUUGGCUCAUGCUGUGUUUUUCUUCCGGCAGGUUUGCAGGGGUGAUUCGGGGCUAGUGUGAUGAGAGAGUUGUCUUUGACCAUCUAGGUUGAUUCGAAUUUUGAUUUUGGUUAUUUUGACUCUAUUUAGAGAAUUGUAUUUAGUACUUCAUUGAUGGAUAUCACUAUUAGUAUUUUGAAGUUAUUAGUGCGUUGUUUACUUAUUUUGAGGUUUGUUGUGAUUUGC